AUAAAAAACCAAUACAUGCUUUUAAAGUAUGGAAUUUGGUGAUUUACAAUAACUUAGCAAAUCGCAUAGUGAAAACAGGCGAUAAAUCAUUCAAGUUUCUGACCUAUCAGCUUUCGACGGUAUGGUAUUGGCUUACCGUGGCAGUGACGGUUAACGGGGGAUUAGGGUUCGAUUCCGGAGAGGGAGCCUGAGAAACGGCUACCACAUCUAAGGAAGGCAGCAGGCGCGCAAAUUACCCAAUUCUAACAGCAUAAGAGAGGUAGUGACAAGAAAUAACAAUACAAGGCAGUUAAAAUGCUUUGUAAUUGGAAUGAUAGAAAUUUAAACACUUUUUAAAGUAUCAAUUGGAGGGCAAGUCUGGUGCCAGCAGCCGCGGUAAUUCCAGCUCCAAUAGCGUAUAUUAAAAUUGUUGCAGUUAAAAAGCUCGUAGUUGAAUUUCUGCUAAAAAUAACCGGUCUGCUUUUAAUAAAGGUGGUAUCUUGGUGUGUUUUUAGCAAUAAUGUCCUUUGAAAUGUUUUUUACUUCAUUGUAAUAAAUUAUUUUCAGGAUUUUUACUUUGAGAAAAUUAGAGUGUUUCUAGCAGGCUAACGCUUUGAAUACUGCAGCAUGGAAUAAUAA
rnacentral:rRNA from 1 species